UACGAAGGGGGCUAGCGUUGUUCGGAAUCACUGGGCGUAAAGCGCACGCAGGCGGCUUGAUAAGUCAGGGGUGAAAUCCCGGGGCUCAACCUCGGAAUUGCCUUUGAUACUGUCUGUCUUGAGUUCGGGAGAGGUUGGCGGAAUUCCUAGUGUAGAGGUGAAAUUCGUAGAUAUUAGGAAGAACACCAGUGGCGAAGGCGGCCAACUGGCCAGAUACUGACGCUCAUGUGCGAAGGCGUGGGGAGCAAACAGG
rnacentral:rRNA from 1 species